rnacentral:rRNA from 1 species
GACGAACGCUGGCGGCGUGCUUAACACAUGCAAGUCGAACGGAAAGGCCCUGCUUUUGUGGGGUGCUCGAGUGGCGAACGGGUGAGUAACACGUGAGUAACCUGCCCUUGACUUUGGGAUAACUUCAGGAAACUGGGGCUAAUACCGGAUAGGAGCUCCUGCUGCAUGGUGGGGGUUGGAAAGUUUCGGCGGUUGGGGAUGGACUCGCGGCUUAUCAGCUUGUUGGUGGGGUAGUGGCUUACCAAGGCUUUGACGGGUAGCCGGCCUGAGAGGGUGACCGGACCCUUUGGGAAGAGGAUGCGCCCCCGACCCCAGUGGGGGACAGAGGUGGGGAGUCUUAACAAGUGGGCGGAAACGUAAUGCAACAACACCGGGUGGGGAUUGACGCACUUCGGUUUGAAAACCGCUUCCGCCUGUGACGGGGAUUGGGUUGAGGUAUGGGAUAAAAAGACCCCGGCUAACUACGUC